GAUCAUUUGGAGGUCCCAAGCUAUGCAGUAGCAGUGUCUGACUGGGCAGCAGCAGCAAGGGGAGCCAGCAAACUCUGCACAGAAGAGCCAGCUGCCUUCCUGUCUUGCGGUUCUUUUUCCACAGCUGGGGAUAGCGCAUGCAAAUUUAUCCAUAUACCCUGUUGAGACACGUUCGUAACUGUCUUUUGGAGAAGGCUUCUUCAUUCAGGGAGCAACAGCACUGGAGUAUGAAGAACCUCAGAAGGAAUACAGUUGGAACAGUCUAUAAAAGUCAACCCAACCAUCUCUUUAAAUGCUUGGGACUGAAGGAGUUCUAUGCUUUGUUACCACACCAUUUCAGGAGCUUUCUUUCUCCCUGGAACUGGUUCCCCUUGGAGCACCCUCAUGCAGAGAGCAGAGGAGCAGUGUUUUGGGACCUGCCCUUCUCACUUCAAAGUGGAGGUACCUAUUUCAGAGAGAAUGAAGGAGAAAUGGCCAAAGCAGCCUGAAAAACAUUGCUGUGGAAAAU